rnacentral:lncRNA from 1 species
AUACUUCUGAAGUUUGCAGAGAGAAAUUUGGAGAAGAAGAGGAGUAAGGAAUAUCCGAAUUUCGAAUUGAGUUGGUAAAACUGUCAGAUUUGGGAGAAAGCAGCUUUUAUACUAGAGUUCUCUUCAACUUUUCAUAAGGUUCAAGGGUGGCUUAUUUAAUGCCAACAGUGAUUGUGAAGUUAAAGAAGUAGCGUGCGGUUUUAGUCUUCAUUGUUUACCGGAGUGGGCUUCUCUUUUGGGCCUCGGUAAGUUGUAUCUUGGGCCUUUGUUGAUCUCAUUAUAAUUCCUUUUAUUCUGGACCGAUUCCACUUAUACUCUUUCAUUAAACCUCCUGUUUAAUAAAAGACUGGGGGGCAAUGUUGGGCCAUGAUCCUUUUCCUUAUUGGGCCAGACUUAAUGGGCUCCUCCCUGGGGUUAUGAUUAUUCUUGCCCUAUUGGUCCGGAUGCAGUGGGCCGAAUUACUAGAUGAGUAUGGUUCCACUUGGGCUUUGACCGGUGUAGAUUGGGGAUAGAACUUUGACUGUCAUCUCUGCAUUGCAUUUAAUGAGGAUUG